rnacentral:rRNA from 1 species
GAUCAUGGCUCAGGACGAACGCUGGCGGCGUGCCUAAUACAUGCAAGUCGAGCGAAGUUUUUCUGGUGCUUGCACUAGAAAAACUUAGCGGCGAACGGGUGAGUAACACGUAAAGAACCUGCCUCAUAGACUGGGACAACUAUUGGAAACGAUAGCUAAUACCGGAUAACAGCAUUAACUGCAUGGUUGAUGUUUGAAGGUUGGUUAUGCUAACACUAUGAGAUGGCUUUGCGGUG